rnacentral:rRNA from 1 species
AGAAUCAACGCUGGCGGCGUGCCUAACACAUGCAAGUCGCACGAGAAAGGGACUUCGGUCCUGAGUAAAGUGGCGCACGGGUGAGUAACACGUGACUAAUCUACCCUCGAGUGGGGAAUAACCUAGGGAAACCUGGGCUAAUACCGCAUAACACUUACGAGUCAAAGCAGCAAUGCGCUUGGGGAGGAGGUCGCGGCAGAUUAGCUAGUUGGUAGGGUAAUGGCCUACCAAGGCGAUGAUCUGUAUCCGGCCUGAGAGGGCGCACGGACACACUGGAACUGAAACACGGUCCAGACUCCUACGGGAGGCAGCAGUGGGGAAUUUUGCGCAAUGGGGGAAACCCUGACGCAGCAACGCCGCGUGGAGGAUGAAGUCUCUUGGGACGUAAACUCCUUUCGACAGGGACGAUAAUGACGGUACCUGUAGAGAGCCCGGCUAACUUCGCGCCAGCAGCCGC